GAUGAACGCUGGCGGCGUGCCUAAUACAUGCAAGUCGAGCGAACGGACGAGAAGCUUGCUUCUCUGAUGUUAGCGGCGGACGGGUGAGUAACACGUGGAUAACCUACCUAUAAGACUGGGAUAACUUCGGGAAACCGGAGCUAAUACCGGAUCAUAUUUUGAACCGCAUGGUUCAAAAGUGAAAGGCGGUUUUGCUGUCACUUAUAGCUGGAUCCGCGCUGCAUUAGCUAGUUGGUAAGGUAACGGCUUACCAAGGCGACGAUGCAUAGCGGACCUGAGAGGAUGAUAAGCAACACUGGAACUGAGACACGGUCCAGACUCCUACGGGAGGCAGCAGUGGGGAAUAUUGGACAAUGGGCGAAAGCCUGAUCCAGCCAUGCCGCGUGGGUGAAGAAGGUCUUCGGGUUGUAAAGCCCUUUUAUUGGGAAAGAAAAGCAGUAAGUUAAUACCCCGCUGUUAUGACGGUACCAAAAGAAUAAGCACGGGCUAACUUCGUG
rnacentral:rRNA from 1 species